UGGGGAAUAUUGGACAAUGGGCGCAAGCCUGAUCCAGCAAUACCGCGUGUGUGAAGAAGGCCCUAGGGUUGUAAAGCACUUUCAAUUGGGAGGAAAACCUGCCGGUCAAUACCCGGUAGCUUGACAUUACCUUUAGAAGAAGCACCGGCUAACUCCGUGCCAGCAGCCGCGGUAAUACGGAGGGUGCAAGCGUUAAUCGGAAUUACUGGGCGUAAAGCGUGCGUAGGCGGUUCGUUAAGUCAGAUGUGAAAGCCCCGGGCUUAACCUGGGAACUGCAUUUGAAACUGGCGGACUAGAGUUGAGUAGAGGGGAGUGGAAUUUCAGGUGUAGCGGUGAAAUGCGUAGAUAUCUGAAGGAACACCAGUGGCGAAGGCGACUCCCUGGACUCAAACUGACGCUGAGGUACGAAAGCGUGGGUAGCAAACAGG
rnacentral:rRNA from 1 species